rnacentral:rRNA from 1 species
GUCAAGCGAAUAAGCGCACACGGUGGAUGCCUUGGCGGUCAGAGGCGAUGAAGGACGUGGCAGCCUGCGAAAAGUGCGGGGGAGCUGGCAACAAGCAUUGAUCCCGCAAUGUCCGAAUGGGGAAACCCGG